GCCAAGGCAAAUACUCUUAACAAAUUGUCUUAUAUAACCUAUGAUAAUUACACAUCAGAUAGCUGGAAUCAAUGGUAAAACCCCAUCUUGAUGCGUGUCGAAAUCCAAAUGCUACUACACCGCUACCAAUCAUUCAAUUAUAGUUGAGAAGCAUAUUUCUAUUAUACGCUUUUACACUAGAGAGCAGGCAUAGUUGAACCAUCAUGUUCAUGUAUUCUGGGAAAUUAUUGAAUACACCCAAAGUAAUACUACUUCACCCACAUAAAUGUGGAAUCCACCUCCCAUGAUUUAUGGAGGGUCAUAUACAUAUGUGAAUGCAAAGAGCACUAUUCUAUUGUAUACCAGGAAUAGUUAGAAUUUUCAUUUAUCUGGUAUAACACAUUAGAUUAACAAGUGCAAAGUUUGGAACAAGCCACAAAAUUAGCUUUUCAAAUAAUGAAAGAAAAAAUCAGUGUUAGUUGAGGCAAAUUAACAAUACAAAUUCAUGACAGAAAUCAAUCAGUUAACGGCAGAAUUAUUCCCUACAUAUCUGUAUAUAAAAAGGACAGAAGAUAUACCUGACACCAGCAUCACCAACA
rnacentral:misc_RNA from 1 species